CCUACGAGAGGCAGCAGUGAGGAAUAUUGGUCAAUGGGCGUAAGCCUGAACCAGCCAAGUCGCGUGAGGGAUGAAGGUUCUAUGGAUCGUAAACCUCUUUUAUAAGGGAAUAAAGUGCGGGACGUGUCCCGUUUUGUCUGUACCUUAUGAAUCAGGAUCGGCUAACUCCGUGCCAGCAGCCGCGGUAAUACGGAGGAUCCGAGCGUUAUCCGGAUUGCUUGGGUUUAAAGGGUGCGUAGGCGGCCUUUUAAGUCAGCGGUGAAAGUCUGUGGCUCAACCAUAGAAUUGCCGUUGAAACUGGUAGGCUUGAGUAUGUUUGAGGCAGGCGGAAUGCGUGGUGUAGCGGUGAAAUGCUUAGAUAUCACGCAGAACCCCGAUGGCGAAGGCAGCCUGCCAAGCCAUGACUGACGCUGAUGCACGAAAGCGUGGGGAUCAAACAGGAUUAGAUACCCGAGUAGUC
rnacentral:rRNA from 1 species